rnacentral:ncRNA from 18 species
CGUUUAGCUGGCCGUGAUGGUUCCCCGACGGUGACUCGAAGGGGAUUAAUAGGGAACACGGUAAGGCCCCGACAAGGGAUCGAAGCCGUGGCUGCCCCCGCAACUGUGAGCGGAUUGCCACUCAUCCUCGGGCGUCGCAAGGCGCCAUGCCACUGGGCUAUCCCGGGAAGGCAGAUGAAGGGCGCAUAUCCGUGAGCCAGGAGACCUGCCAUCGAACACCACUCAGUC